rnacentral:rRNA from 1 species
UACAGAGGGUGCGAGCGUUAAUCGGAAUUACUGGGCGUAAAGCGCACGUAGGCGGCCAUGUAUGUCGAUUGUGAAAUCCCCGGGCUCAACCUGGGAACUGCAUUCGAAACUGCACGGCUGGAGUACGGAAGAGGAAGGCGGAAUUCCCGGUGUAGCGGUGAAAUGCGUAGAUAUCGGGAGGAACAUCAGUGGCGAAGGCGGCCUUCUGGUCCAGUACUGACGCUCAAGUGCGAAAGCGUGGGUAGCAAACAGG